GUCAAAUUUAACAUAAUAAUGUUACUUGCAGAAAAUAUACAGAAAAUCUCUUUUUUUUUUGAGAAGAAGAUUUUCAUUUCUUCUGUUAGGAAAGUCCCCGAGAUAAACAGUUAGUUAUUCUAAAUGUUUUUAGAAAAGCUGAUAACUUAAUAAGUUAUUAAUCUUAUAGUUACCUUUGUAGAAAAUAUAUAAAUUUUCUCAAAGGAUAUAAAUAUUAAAAUAGCGAGUUAAAUGUAACGUGUGUUCUAUAAUAUAUUUUAUUGGACAUCACCAAAUGGGGCUUAUACGUAUGUUAAAUUUACCAU